rnacentral:rRNA from 1 species
UACAGAGGUCCCAAGCGUUGUUCGGAUUCACUGGGCGUAAAGGGUGCGUAGGUGGUCGGGUAAGUCUGAUGUGAAAUCUCCAGGCUCAACCUGGAAAUGGCAUUGGAUACUAUUCGGCUAGAGGAGUGGAGGGGGGACUGGAAUACUUGGUGUAGCAGUGAAAUGCGUAGAUAUCAAGUGGAACACCAGUGGCGAAGGCGAGUCCCUGGACAGUUCCUGACACUGAGGCACGAAAGCUAGGGGAGCAAACAGG